GAGAAUUCAAAGGCUCCUGCAGGAGUCCAAGCAAGAGGAUUGCAGAUUGUAGCCUGGAAGAGGCCAGUAGCUGUGGUGACAAUGGACACCAGGUGGAUAUGUUGGAGAGACACUUAGAAGGGUCUCACUCUGUCACCCAGACUGGAGUACACUGGUGUGAUCUCGGCUCACUGCAACCUCCGCCUCCCAGGCUCAAGUGAUUCUCCUGCCUCAGCCUCUCGAGUAGCUGGAAGUACAAGCAUGUGCCACUACCACCCUGCUAAUUUUUGUAUUUUUAGUAGAGAUGCGGUUUCAUCAUGUUGGCCAGGCUGGCCUUGAACUCAUGACCUUAAAUGAUCCACCCACCUCAGCCUCCCAAGUGCUGGGAUUUUAGGUGUGAGCCACUGCACCUGGCAGGUGAUUAUUUAAAAGCAGAAGUAGUAUAAUCACAUUUUUUUGUAAAUAGCUUUUUAAAAAUGGAUGGGAAAUAAUAUUUGGAAGUGGAGUUGUUGAACUACCUCUGUGAACAGUAUACUCUCUCUAAUUGUUCAUUGGGUUGAGGGUGGUGAGAGGAAGAAAUUGCAAAAGUUGCUUUGCUAGUGUUUAUUAGCACGUUGUGCACGUGUACCCUAAAACUUAAAGUAUAAUAAUAAUAAAAAUUUUAAAAAAGGUUUAAAAAAAAAAGAAAAUUUCAGCUUAAUCUAUUGCCUGUAUGUUACAUGCGUUUCAUUUACCUUUGCUGUACUGUAUAUAUUGUGUAUAUGCUGAACAAAUGAGUCCUAAUUUUAUAAUAUCUAGUCGAGUCUCUAGAGAGUAAAGAGGUUGCCAAUGUAUGACAGAAAGAGAGUUAGUAAACUAACAUAUGUUGUACACUUUGUUAAAAUUCAUAGAAAGACUGUCUUCUGAGAAGGACUUUUGGGAGUGAAAUAACAUCAGCUCUAAGUGACUCAUUUGCCUAUAUCCACCUGGUUGGUGGUGAAGAGGAGUUGAAAGGGAUGAAGGAUUCUAGGACAGAAGGUUCCUAUUGAGGAGACACUUUCGGAUAUAACCACUGUUACAUGUGUGUAGUUUAUUCAACACUACUGUGUAUAUAACGGACAAACAAAUCAUAUUUAAAACAUCAUCUAGUCUUUUUAGAUGUUUAGAAGUGCACAAAGUAUGUUAAAAGUAGAGGUAAAUAACACAUUUUGUAGAUAUCCUUUUGAUGUGAAAUAUUGUGUUUUGGAAAUUGAGCAAACCAAUUCCCUGAGCCGUACACAUUAUCAUAUUUGUGUCAGUUUGGGGAGGAAGGAGGAGCAGAAAGUACAAAGGGCUGCCUCAGCCUCCUGAGUAGCUAGGAUUAUAGGCGCACACCACCACACCUGGCUAAUUUUUUUGGUAAUUUUUAGUAGAUUCGGUGUUUCACCAUGUUGGCCGGGCUGGUCUUGAACUCCUGACCUCAGGUGAUCCGCCUGCCUCAGCCUCCCAAAGUGCUGGGAUUACAGGUGUGAGCCACCGCGCCUGGCCAAUAGUGGGUACUAAAAGAUAAACAAGUCUUAAUGCUCAAAGUAUGUCAAAAAUAGAUGUAGUAAAACAAUCCGUCUACAAAUGUUCUUUUGUUAUAUUUUAGGAGGCCUGUCUUCUGGGAGUGACCUUUGUUAUUCCACCUCUUGGAACUAUACCUAUACCUAGUCCUGUACCUAGUCACUGGGAUGGUGGAAGAGGGAGAAAAGGAAGGAUGAAGGAAAGAGCUCUUUGCUAGUAUCUCCACAUCUAGAAGAUGGUUUUAGAUGAUAAACAUAGGUCUACAUGAGCAUUUUUAGUAAAGUGCUUGUGUGUAAUUCUGGACAAAGUUUAUUAUUUUGCACUAACUAAGCUUUAUGAAUGUCCUGGGGUGAUAAUGUGUGGUAAAAAGUAGAACUAGUGAAUUAGCCAAUUUGCAAAUUUUUUCUUGUUAUAAUUUAUAGAAAAGAUGCAACUUGGACAUGGAACUGUUAAACCAUCUCUGAGCUUUGUAUGCCAGGACUUGUUCAUUAGGUUGGCAGCAGAGAGGCAAAAGGAAGUAUAAAGAGAGAGAUGUAUGCAGAUGUGUCAAUAUUUACAUUUUGAUGAUAGCCAUUGUUGUAUGUGCAUCUCUUUUAGCUGUACUAUAGGAAUACAUUAGGUAUUUCAAUGAAAACAUACCUUGCUAAUAUUUGAAUAGUAUAGAUCUGCUAAUGGAUUCUCUUAGAAAAAUUAUACUUAGUGUAUUCUAUUGCUGUAUAUUUCAUUUUAAAGUGAGCACUAAAGGAAUGCAGUAUUUUAAUAAAAACUUUGCCAAUGCUUUUAUUUAGAGGCGUGUUGCCAAUUUUUGUCUUUUAUGAAAAUUUGGCCCAAGAAAGGCAGGAUUACAUUGUUUUUCCAACAGAUUGAGUGGGUGUAGUGUAUUCUUGAUUAUCAAAAUACUCAUAUAGUUUUGAGAUUUUGAAUUGGUAAAUACUCAAGACGUGUGAAAAAGCAUGAUACAUAUUAUAUGAUCUCAGUCCCAUAAAAUUGACUAUUGUAUCUACACCCACACAGGACCUAGAAGGACAUGUUAAACUGUAAACUGCUUGUGAUUGUGGAUGACCUUUUUCGUUGCUUCUUGUGUUUUUCAGUUUCCUAUAAUGCACAUAGUAACUUUAAAAAAUAAAGAUUAUUUUUAAAACCUAAAAAAAAAGAGGUUACAGAAUUGAAUACUCCCUGAGAUAAGGUAAAAUCGCCUUAUGCUAACGGUUGCAAGAUAAUGGUAUAAGUAAGCUUUCGUCAUAUAUAUCAAUGAACUUUAAGAUUUGGAAGACAAAAUUCAGUUUAUGUAUUCAAUUAAAUGUGCUCAGAUUGUAUUGUGCUAGAUAGCCACAUUAUUCUAACAUAAUAUAAAUGAAUCAAUAAAAUCCUUAUAAUACUGA
rnacentral:lncRNA from 1 species